UACGUAGGGUGCAAGCGUUGUCCGGAAUUAUUGGGCGUAAAGAGCUCGUAGGCGGUUUGUCGCGUCUGCUGUGAAAUCUGGGGGCUCAACCCCCCAGCCUGCAGUGGGUACGGGCAGACUAGAGUGCGGUAGGGGAGAUUGGAAUUCCUGGUGUAGCGGUGGAAUGCGCAGAUAUCAGGAGGAACACCGAUGGCGAAGGCAGAUCUCUGGGCCGUAACUGACGCUGAGGAGCGAAAGCAUGGGGAGCGAACAGG
rnacentral:rRNA from 1 species